GUCUAUUGGUCGAAGAAGGAUCUCGUCUUUUCAGGACAACUUGUGCCAUUUCAUCCACUGUGUCAAUAGAACAACAGUUUCAAUACUCCUAAUUCCGAAAAGGACAAAAUCCCCAUUUGAUCCAUUUCCGAAAAGGACAACUUCCCAUUUGGCCUAUUUCCGAAAAGGACAACUUCCCAUUUGGCUUAUUUACGAAAAGGACAACUUCCCAUUUGACCUAUUUCCGGAAAGGACAACUUCCCAUUUAGCCUAUUUCCGAAAAGGACAACUUCCCAUUUGGCCUAUUUCCGAAAAGGACAACUUAAACCUAAAUAAAG